rnacentral:rRNA from 1 species
UGGGGAAUCUUCCGCAAUGGACGAAAGUCUGACGGAGCAACGCCGCGUGAGUGAAGACGGCCUUCGGGUUGUAAAGCUCUGUUAUUCGGGAAGAACGAUUCGUUUGUGAACAAUGAACGGAAGUGACGGUACCGAAAGAGAAAGCCACGGCUACCUACGUGCCAGCAGCCGCGGUAAUACGUAGGUGGCAAGCGUUGUCCGGAAUUAUUGGGCGUAAAGAGCGCGUAGGCGGUAUGGUAAGUCUGUCUUAGAAGUGCGGGGCUUAACCCCGUGGGGGGACAGAGACUGUCAUACUGGAGUCUCGGAGAGGAAAGCGGAAUUCCUAGUGUAGCGGUGAAAAGCGUAGAGAGUAGAAAGAACACCGGGGGCGAAGGCGGCUUUCUGGACGAGCGCUGACGCUGAGGCGCGAAAGCGUGGGGAGCGAACAGG